AUGAGCUAUGCUGUUGAGAACUGUGUAUCCUUGAAACUUUACUUUCAAAAAAAUGGACAAGGUAUUAUGCCACACAUCUUCAGAAAUGAAAACAUGAAAUGGCAGAGAACCACUGUGUUCUUUCAAGUAUUGCAUUUUACAUAAAGAGAUCAUCCAGAGUACCUCAUCUGCAUCUGUGACAUGCU
rnacentral:lncRNA from 1 species